GUAUAACGUUAUAUGCUAUUACGAUAUAACGUAUAACGUUAUAUACUACUAUGAGAUAACUUAUAACGUUAUAUAGUAUUACGAUAUAACGUAUAACGUUAUAUGUUAUCACGAUAUAACAUAUAACGUUAUAUACUAUUACGAUAUAACAUAUAACGUUAUAUAGUAUUACGAUAUAACGUAUAACGUUAUAUGCUAUUACGAUAUAACGUAUAACGUUAUAUGCUAUUACGAUAUAACAUAUAACGUUAUAUACUAUUACGUUAUAACGUAUAACGUUAUAUAGUAUUACGAUAUAACGUAUAACGUUAUAUGCUAUUAUGAUAUAGCUAAUAACGUUAUAUGCUAUUACGAUAUAACAUAUAACGUUAUAUACUAUUACGAUAUAACGUACAACGUUAUAUACUACUAUGAUAUAACGUAUAACGUUAUAGAGUAUUACGAUAUAGCGUAUAACGUUAUAUGCUAUUACGAUAUAACGUAUAACGUUAUAUGCUAUUACGAUAUAACGUAUAACGUUAUAUGCUAUUACGAUAUAACGUAUAACGUUAUAUACUAUUACGAUAUAACGUAUAACGUUAUAUGCUAUUACGAUAUAACAUAUAACGUUAUAUACUACUAUGAUAUAACGUAUAACGUUAUAUAGUAUUACGAUAUAACGUAUAACGUUAUAUGCUAUUACGAUAUAACGUAUAACGUUAUAUACUAUUACGAUAAAGCGUAUAACGUUACAUAGUAUUACGAUAUAACAUAUAACGUUAUAUAGUAUUACGAUAUAACGUAUAACGUUAUAUGCUAUUACGAUAUAACGUAUAACGUUAUAUACUAUUACGAUAAAGCGUAUAACGUUAUAUACUAUUACGAUAUAACAUAUAACGUUAUAUAGUAUUACGAUAUAACGUAUAACGUUAUAUAGUAUUACGAUAUAACGUAUAACGUUAUAUGCUAUUACGAUAUAACGUAUAACG
rnacentral:misc_RNA from 1 species